CCCGCUGAACUUAAGCAUAUCAAUAAGCGGAGGAAAAGAAACUAACAAGGAUUCCCCUAGUAACUGCGAGUGAAGCGGGAAGAGCUCAAAUUUAAAAUCUGGCCGCCUUUGGUUGCCCGAGUUGUAGUCUGGAGAAGCGUUUUCCGUGUUGGACCGUGUACAAGUCUCUUGGAACACGGGCGUCAUAGAGGGUGAGAAUCCCGUCUUUGACACGGACUACCAAUGCUUUGUGAUGCGCUCUCAAAGAGUCGAGUUGUUUGGGAAUGCAGCUCAAAAUGGGUGGUAAAUUCCAUCUAAAGCUAAAUAUAGGCGAGAGACCGAUAGCGAACAAGUACCGUGAGGGAAAGAUGAAAAGCACUUUGGAAAGAGAGUUAAACAGUACGUGAAAUUGCUGAAAGGGAAACGCUUGAAGUCAGUCAUGUGCUGCCGGGACUCUGCCUUGCUUCUGCUUGGUGCACUUCCUGGUUGGAUGGGCCAGCAUCAAUUUUGACCGUUGGAGAAAGGCUUCGGGAAUGUGGCACCUUUGGGUGUGUUAUAGCCGUGUGUCGUAGACGGCGGUCGGGAUUGAGGCCUGCAGCACGCUCAUUUAUGACCGGGCUCUCGACCCUCGUACGUGCUUAGGAUGUCGGCGGAAUGGCUUUAAGCGACCCGUCUUGAAACACGG
rnacentral:rRNA from 1 species